rnacentral:rRNA from 1 species
GACGAACGCUGGCGGCGUGCUUAACACAUGCAAGUCGAGCGGAAAGGCCCUUCGGGGUACUCGAGCGGCGAACGGGUGAGUAACACGUGAGUAACCUGCCCUGGACUUUGGGAUAACCCUCGGAAACGGGGGCUAAUACCGAAUACGACACGUGACUGCAUGGUCUACGUGUGGAAAGUUUUUCGGUCUGGGAUGGGCUCGCGGCCUAUCAGCUUGUUGGUGGGGUGAUGGCCUACCAAGGCGACGACGGGUAGCCGGCCUGAGAGGGCGACCGGCCACACUGGGACUGAGACACGGCCCAGACUCCUACGGGAGGCAGCAGUGGGGAAUAUUGCACAAUGGGCGGAAGCCUGAUGCAGCGACGCCGCGUGAGGGAUGACGGCCUUCGGGUUGUAAACCUCUUUCAGCAGGGACGAAGCGAGAGUGACGGUACCUGCAGAAGAAGCGCCGGCCAACUACGUGCCAGCAGCCGCAGUAAAAC